CCUACGGGAGGCUGCAGUGGGGAAUAUUGCUCAAUGGGCGAAAGCCUGACCCAGCGACGCCGCGUGAGGGAUGAAGGUCCUCGGAGUGUUAACCCUCUUCAGUCGGGAAGCACGGUCACUGUGCUAAUCCGCAGUGAAUUGACGGUACCUGCAAAGCAAGCACCGGCUCACUCCGGGCCAACAGCCGCGGUAAUACGGAGGGUGCGUGGGUUGAUUGGAAUUUCUGGGCGUAAAGCGCUCGUGGGCGGUAGUGCAAGUCCAGGGGGAAAUGCCCGCGCCCAACGUGGGAACCGCCUUUGAAACUGGCAAACUGGAGGGUGAGAGAAGAUAGUGGAA
rnacentral:rRNA from 1 species